UGUGUGUGUGUGUGUGUGUGUGUGUGUGCAGGCACACACACGUGUGUGUGAUAUUUUCGAGUGACAUUUAAGAGUGUGGGAGCUUCCAUUUGGAUCCCUCUAUCUUGGCUCGCUCCUCUUCCUUCCACUCACACUCUUUUUUUCCAAGAGCAAUUUCGUAUUUUCUUCUGCGAGGCUCUCCGGUUGCCAACAUGGAGGAGAGCCAUUGUUGGAAGUGGGGAAGGCAGCCGAGCUGGCGUCGAGCGAGGCACUGGCAGAGGGAAGGGAAACCCUUCUGUGUCAAGAGGGCCUGGCCAUGGCAAGGCUCUGCAGCCCAUGCCACUCUCUUUCUCUCUCUCUAUGCCUUCCUGCCAACAGCCUCUGUUUGCCCUCAUGCCAAAGCUUAUUGGGGGAGACGGUGUGUGUUAUCUUCAUGGCUGCCUAAUUAAUAACCCAGCUGACAGUUUCCAUAAUAAUUACCUUACCUAAAGUGAAGGGGGAAACAGAGCAAAGUCCCUGCGCGUGUAUUUAAAUGAGACAUGCUAACAACACUCUUCCUUCCCCUCCCCAGUCAUAAUCAUAUGCUGAUUUCCAGUAGCAAUCAGGACUAGAAGUAGCCUUUUCUCUGUGUGUUUGUGUGUUGGGUUUUGCUCGCAAAACUGACGAGGCAGUUUUCUCCCAAACCUCUGCUGUCUUGACCUCAUUGUAAUAGAGCUCUGGCCUAUGGAGGACUCCUGGAAAGAAACAGGAGACAGCAAAGGAAAGAGAAAUGUAUUGAGGAGGGUCCCGUCGUUGGGAUGUCCAUGGGAAGUGUCCAGAGCAGUGAGAGAGCCUGCUUCAUGAAGCUCUAUCGGGCUAAAGAGACGCAUCCUGUGGGACAAAAAAACAACAGCAACAUAAGAACCUAGGAAGCUGCCUUAGAAUCAAAGAGUUAGAAGGGACCACAAGGGGCAUCUAGUCCAACCCCUGGCAACACAGGAAUCUUUUGCCCAACGUGGGUCUCAAACUCACAACCCUAAGAUUAAGAGUCUUGUGCAGACUGAGCUGAGGUCAAUUGGAUUUCGUCUUAAUUUGGGUUCUCUGAAAGUGAAGCAGGGGAUGAAUACCUGCUUCAGUCAGUGAUGUUUCAGUUCAGUGCUUUAUUUUCCCCUUGAAAAUCUUCCAUUUCUUAAAGAACAAUGAGUGGGUGCCAAUAAUAAGUACAAUAUUCGGCAAGUUUUUAGCUUUGCUCACUCGGUGCAAAGAAAGCAAACUAUUAAAAUAGAAAUAUACGUAAAAUGAAGGAACAUGGUGAAUCUUAGGGCUAGGUGGGAGACCUUAUACUAAGCCAGACUGUUGGUCCAUCAAGCUGAGUGUUGUCCACACUGACUGGCAACAGCUUUCCAGGGUUUCAAGCGCAAGUCUUUUCUCAGCCGUCUCUGAAGGUGCUAGGAAUUGUAUCCGGGACCUUUUGAGUGUCCUUCCCUCAACGAAUAAUAAAAAGGACCCCUGGCCAUUAGGUCCAUUAGGGCAAGGGGGCAGUGAGAUUAAAGGUAAAGGGACCCCUGACCAUUAGGUCCAGUCAUGGCCAACUCUGGGGUUGCGGCGCUCAUCAAGCUUUAUUGGCCGAGGGAACCGGCGUACCGCUUCCGGGUCAUGUGGCCAGCAAGACUAAGCCGCUUCUGGCGAACCAGAGCAGCGCACAGAAACGCCGUUUACCUUUCCACCAGAGCAGUACCUAUUUAUCUACUUGCACUUUGACGUGCUUUCGAACUGCUAGCUUGGCAGGAGCAGGGACCGAGCAACGGGAGCUCACCCCAUCGCAGUGAUUCGAACCGCCGACCUUCUGAUCGGCAAGUCCUAGGCUCUGUGCUUUAACCCACAGCACCACCCAUGUGUUAAAUAAUUAAAUAACAUGUUCCCUCCAGAGCAGAUACAUAUUUGUUUGUUGGGUUUAUAUCCUGCCUGCCUUCCUGAAGGAGCCCAGGGCAGCAAACAUAUCCACGUUUUUUUAAAACAGAAAAGCACUCACAGAAUCAUAGUAUUGUCGAGUUGGAAGGGGCCCAGACAGGCCUGGGAGAGCUCAGUCAGUAGAGCAGGAGACUCUGAAUCUCAGGGCUGUGGGUUCGAAUCCCACGUUGGGCAAAAGAUUCCUGUAUUGCCGGGGGUUGGGCUAGAUGAGCCCUCAUAGUCCCUGCCAACUCUACAAUUCUAUGAUUCUAUGAUCUAGUGCAACCCCCGGCAAUACAGGAGUAUGCAGUUGUCCCACACGGCAAUCAAACCUACAACCUUGGCAUUAUCAGCACCACACUCUAGCCAACUGAGCGAACACAGUUAAGGCAUUCUAAAAACAGCUUCAAUUCAAAACAUCUAGAAGCAGUUUCAGUCAAAAACAUCCUAUAAACAGUUACAAUUAAAAAGCAUGAUUUCAUAACAUGAUUCAGGCUCUGAAACUGCAUCCAAGCCUGUAGAGUUUGUUAUUCUGGACCAGUUAUAAUCUCUUGGGCAUUACACACACACACACACACACACACACACACACAGCACACCUCAUUCUCUGGCUCCUCUUUUCUAGAGAAGAGCAAGGGUAGGACUGGGGGGCAGGGACUUAGGCUGGAUCCGACACCUAUUCAACUUGGGGCUUAUUCACACUUAUCUUUCCUCCACGAUUUAAAGCUCCAUGUCUGAGCACCCUUUUCCUCCCAUGCUGUGGAGCUUUCUCCAUCCAAACCUGCUCCAUUUGCCCCAAUGGAGCAAACAUCAGUCUGCGGAAAAUCCAGAAUUGACGUUUGCUCCUGUUCAGCUUUAAAGAGCAGGUUUUUUAGUGGGGAAAGCUCGGGGCAAAGAAAUAAUAAACAUUUGGAUGUGGAGCGUCAAAGCAUUGACCUCCAUGUGGUAAAAUGUGUGGAUAAGCUCUGCUGGCAACCUGGCAGAGAGUAUAAAUUUAAAGGCUUGCUUUUCCUCUGCCAACCUUAGGAAGAGCGGCGGCAGCAACCUCAGUUCUGAACAGGGUAUAGAUCUGGCAUAGCUUUAAGCCAGUGUACAAAUGUCCAUAGAAACUAGCCGAGUUGAUGAAAGUUUUGAAAAGAGCAACAACAUACAUUUGUUGCCCCACCCACUUUUCCCUCUAGCAUGGGACUCCUGGGGGGAUUGCCUUGGGCUGAAGAAAGCCCCCAGCCUUGUUCUCAUGAGAUAAAUUGGGGCUUGACGGGCACCUUCUGUGGUUGAGAGGCCCUUAGUAGCUCUUUUCAUGUUCCUUGCCUCUAGGCGAACAGUGUCAAAACACGCAGACAUAUAAAAAAUAAGAAACAUCAUCUCAUAAACAUACCUGAACUACCAUCUGGCAACUAUCCCAGCAGCCUGGUGAUCUCUUUAGUUCCCCAGCAUGCAGUUUUAUUUU